rnacentral:rRNA from 1 species
UAGUGGCGAACGGGUGAGUAACACGUGGGCAAUCUGCCCUUCACUCUGGGACAAGCCCUGGAAACGGGGUCUAAUACCGGAUAUGAGCCUGGGAGGCAUCUCCUGGGUUGUAAAGCUCCGGCGGUGAAGGAUGAGCCCGCGGCCUAUCAGCUUGUUGGUGAGGUAAUGGCUCACCAAGGCGACGACGGGUAGCCGGCCUGAGAGGGCGACCGGCCACACUGGGACUGAGACACGGCCCAGACUCCUACGGGAGGCAGCAGUGGGGAAUAUUGCACAAUGGGCGAAAGCCUGAUGCAGCGACGCCGCGUGAGGGAUGACGGCCUUCGGGUUGUAAACCUCUUUCAGCAGGGAAGAAGCGAAAGUGACGGUACCUGCAGAAGAAGCGCCGGCUAACUACGUGCCAGCAGCCGCGGUAAUACGUAGGGCGCAAGCGUUGUCCGGAAUUAUUGGGCGUAAAGAGCUCGUAGGCGGCUUGUCACGUCGAUUGUGAAAGCCCGAGGCUUAACCUCGGGUCUGCAGUCGAUACGGGCUAGCUAGAGUGUGGUAGGGGAGAUCGNAAUUCCU